GCAGCCGCGGUAAUUCCAGCUCCAAUAGCGUAUAUUAAAGUUGUUGCAGUUAAAAAGCUCGUAGUCGGACUUGAGCUCUUGGGAGUUUCAGGAGUGCGGGAAACCCCUGUAUUUCUUCUGAUUCACCCUUGAGCUAUUUUAAAAUUUCUGUUGGCAGCAUUUGCCCUUUACUGGGCGAGUGUGUUUUUCGUUGGCAGAGUUUUUACUGUGAAAAAAUCAGAGUGCUCAAAGCAGGUCGGCUUGUAGCUGCUGCAUGGAUUAGCAUGGGAUAAUGAAAUAAGACUUGGGUCUUAUGUUUGUUGGUUCUUCAAAGGCCUAGGUAAUGAUAAACAGGAGCAGUCAGGGACACUCGUAUUCCAGUGAGAGAGGUGAAAUUCUCAGACCACUGGAAGACGAACUAGUGCGAAAGCAUUUGCCAGGGAUGUUUUCAUUGAUCAAGAACGAAAGUUAGGGGAUCGAAGACGAUCAG
rnacentral:rRNA from 1 species